GUCCACGCCGUAAACGAUGAUAACUAGCUGUCCGGGCACAUGGUGCUUGGGUGGCGCAGCUAACGCAUUAAGUUAUCCGCCUGGGGAGUACGGUCGCAAGAUUAAAACUCAAAGGAAUUGACGGGGGCCUGCACAAGCGGUGGAGCAUGUGGUUUAAUUCGAAGCAACGCGCAGAACCUUACCAGCUUUUGACAUCCCGGUCGCGGUUUCCAGAGAUGGAUUCCUUCAGUUCGGCUGGACCGGUGACAGGUGCUGCAUGGCUGUCGU
rnacentral:rRNA from 1 species